rnacentral:rRNA from 1 species
AUACGUAGGGUGCGAGCGUUGUCCGGAAUUACUGGGCGUAAAGCGCUCGUAGGUGGUUUGUCGCGUCGUCUGUGAAAUUCCGGGGCUUCACUCCGGGCGUGCAGGCGAUACGGGCAUAACUUGAGUACUGUAGGGGAGACUGGAAUUCCUGGUGUAGCGGUGAAAUGCGCAGAUAUCAGGAGGAACACCGGUGGCGAAGGCGGGUCUCUGGGCAGUAACUGACGCUGAGGAGCGAAAGCAUGGGUAGCGAACAGGAUUAGAUACCCUGGUAGUCCAUGCCGUAAACGGUGGGCGCUAGGUGUAGGGGUCUUCCACGACUUCUGUGCCGUAGCUAACGCAUUAAGCGCCCCGCCUGGGGAGUACGGCCGCAAGGCUAAAACUCAAAUGAAUUGACGGGG